ACUUUAAAUGUAAUUAUCCAAAGUAUGGUUCCGGAGACAUUGGGAGAUUGAGCACUCCUUCAGAACGAUUCUACGGGGAAAAAAAACAAAAAACAAAAAACAAAAAAACAGUGGCCAGAGACUUGAGCAGGAUGUGUGAAGGGAUUUAAUAAUGGAACUUGUGGCAACAGUAGACUUCAGAGACCAGACUGGCGGCUUGAAGAAAGCUAUUUUCUCGUACCAAAUACAUUCCAUUUCCUAAAGACAGGGUCUCGGUCUGUUACCCAAGCUGAAGAGCAAUGGGAUGAUCAUGGCUCACUGCAGCCUCAGAUUCCUGGGCUCAAGUGAUCCUCCCAUCUCAGCCUCCCAAGUAGCUGGACCUACAGACAUCCACCAUCAUGCCUGGGUAAUUUUUCAAUUAUUUUGUGGAAAUGAGGUUUCAUUAUGUUGCCCAGGCAGGUCUCAGAUUCCUGGCCUCACACUAUCCUCCUGCCUUAGCCUCCCAAAGCGCUGGGAUUAUAGGAAUGAGCCACCACACCUGGCCCUUAUCAUUUAUUUGGGUUGCAAACAUUCAAAAUCCUCUCUUCCAGCUAUUCUAAAAUAUAUGACAAACUGUUGCUAAUUAUAGUUACCUUGCCUGGUGCGGUGGCUCUUGCCUGUCAUCCUAGCACUUUGGGAGACUGAGGAGGGAGAAUAUGCUAGAGCCCAGGAGUUUGAGACCAGCCUGGGCAAAAUACUGAGACUUGGAGUGCAACGGUGCAACCACAGCUCACUGCAGCCUAGGCUCAAGUGAUCCUCCCACCUUAGCUUUCCAACUAGCUAGGACUCCAGGUGCGUGCCCACCUAAUUUAUUUGCCCAUUUUUAGUUGUAAUUUUUUUUCUCUUGAGUAUUUUGGGUCCUUGUAUAUUCUGGAUAUUAGUCCCUUUUUUUUUUUCUUUUUUUUUUUUAAGAUGGAGUUUCACUCUUAUUGCCCAGGCUGGAGUGCAGUGAUGCAACCUCAGCUCACCACAACCUCCAUCUCCUGGGUUCAAGCUAUUCUCCUGCCUCAACUUCCCGAGUAGCUGUGAUUACAAGCGCCUGUCACCACACCCGGCUAAUUUUGUAUUUUUAAUAGAGACAGAAUUUCUCCAAGUUGGUCAGGCUGGUCUCGAACUCCUGACCUUAGAUGAUCUACCCGCCUUGGCCUCCCAAAGUGCUGGGAUUACAGGCGUGAGCCACCAUGCCUGGCCUAUUUAGUUCCUUUUUUGGAUAAAUUUUGGUUUGUUUCCUGUGCUUUUGAGAUCCUAUCCAUAAAAUCUUUGCCCAAACCAAUGUCCUGAAGCAAUUCUCUUAUGUUUUCUUCUAGUAGUUUUAUAGCUUCGGGUCUUACAUUUAAGCCUUUAAUCUAUUGAGAGUCGAUUUUCAUAUAGGGUGAGAGAUGGGGUUCUAGUGUCAUUCUGCUGCAUAGGCAUAUCCAGUUUUUCCAGCACCUUUUAUCAAAGACUGUGUUCCCCAGUGUGUGUUUUUGGCACUUUUGUCAAAAGCCAGCUGGCUAUAAAUAUGUGGAUUUAUUUCAAGGUUAUCUUUUCUGUUCUGUUGUUCUGUGUCUGUUUUAUGCCAGACCAUGCUGUUUUGGUUACUAUAGCUUUUAUUUUCUUUUUUCUGACAGUCUUGCUCUAUCGCCCAGGCUGGGGUGCAGUGGUGAGAUCUCAGCUCACUGCAACUUUCACCUUCCAGGUUCAAGGGAUUCUCCUGCCUCAGCCUCCCAAGUAGCUGGGAUUACAGGUGCGCACCACCACGCCUGGCUAAUUUUUGUAUUUUCAACAGAGAUGGGGUUUUGUCAUGUUGGCCAGCCUGGUCUCGAACUCCUGGCCUCAAGUGAUCCGCUCACCUCAGCCUCCUAGAGUACUGGGAUUCCAGGCAUGAGCCACUGCACCCAGCCUACUAUAGCUUUAUCGUAUAUUUUGUUAUUUUUAUUUUAUUUUAUUUUUUUGACAUGGAGUCUCGCUCUCUUCCUCACCUGGGACUGCAGUGGUGCAAUCUUGGCUCACUGCAACCUCCGCCUCCUGGGUUCAGGCGAUUCUUCCACCUCAGCCUCCUGAGUAGCUGGGACUAAAGGCGUGUGCAACCAUGCCCAGCUAAUUUUUGUAUUUUUAGUAGAGAUGGGCUUUUGCCAUGUUGGCCACGCAGGUCUUGUAUGUUGAUUUUGUAUCCCACAAUUUAUUGAAUUUGUUUAUCAGCUCUAAGAGUUUUUCGGUGGCAUCCUUAGGUUUUUCCAAAUAUAAGAUCAUUUCCAAAUCUUAAAUGGUUGAAAAUUACAACUGUGCAAUUUCCUUAUUCCUGAUGGUUUCCCCUCUCAUUUCCAAAUGGUCUUGUAUUUGACUGGUGCAGUUUGACUUCCUCCUUUCCAAUUUGGACGCCCUUUAAUUUUUUCUCUUGCCUAAUUGCUCUAGCUAGUAUUUCCUCACAUGCUUUUGAAGCCAAGAUAUAUGACUGUAUGUUUAUCAACACUCAAGGAGAUUCAUCACUGUUGUAGAGGACAUUGAUAAGUUUCCCAAAGUGUGUUUUUCAGCAAGUCAACUGAUAGUGCCUGUAGACUGAAUAGUGUUGAUUUCCCAAGUCAUUUGCUGAUACAUUUCUGGGGAAGAGAGGCAGUUGUGAGACUGCAGGCCCUAAUGAAACGAUUUCAGUUGAAAACAGGCUGGCUCUGAACUAUUCUUUGUUAUCAUAAGAACUCACUGAAAUAUAAUGACCUACUUUGAAGUAAAGGAAGGAGCUCAUAAAGAUUUAGGUAAGAUGAAGUGACUGAGAUCAUUUUUUCAGCUCCCUCUGUCAGCAUCCUUACUUCCUUCUUCUCGUUACCCAUCAAGUCCUAAUGAAUCUACCUUCUAAAUGUUUCUCAGGGCUGAUUCUUCGUUUUCAUCCUCUAGUACUAUCUGCAUUCAGGAUCUCAUUUCAUCUCACCUGCAUCACUGUGAUAGCUUCCUUAUUGAUGCUUUUGUCUUCAUCCGGUCUCUCACCCCUUCCAAACCAUCCUCCACGUGAGCCUGGCUAUGGAAGGCUGUUCUGCCCAUCUCCAGGGAACACAGCUCUGAUGUGAAUGGCACCCCCUGGAGUUCUUUCAUUUCUUGUAUCCCAACAACUCGGGGAAUAGAAAACAUGAGUACCUGAGGCUUUUUUACAUACAUAAUCAUCCCAAGGAAUUUAUGAGUGAGAGUUUCUAAAAGCAAGCUAAUUUAAUCCUGUAGCAUGUUUGCAUUUUUGCUCAAAAGCCUUAACUCUUGUUAAAUAUAAUUCACUUUCCUGUGGCUUUAAAUGUUACCCAGCUCUGAAAUAAGGUGGCUUUUAUGAUAAGAAUUGCUUUCCUCCUGAGCUUGAAGCACAGCCAUGCGUAGAACAGUAAAACUAACUUAAAUGAGAAUGAUUACUAAAUAACUGUGGCUUCAAAGAGAAGAUAGGUAAUAAUACUUUGCAUUCAUACAAGCCUGCCUUUCAUUUGAGUAUCGCAAAGGAAAGCAAAAUGUAGCUGAUGCUGUGUUAUGGUUGAAAAUUACAACUGCGCAAUUUCUUUAUUCCUGUUUCCCCUCUCAAAUAUGAUACCGAGUUAAAGCAUCUCUAGAAUUCAAUGUGUAUUGAUUUUGAACACAGGCUUUUUCUGUCUGUUUUCUACCCCUUUAACAUCAACCACAAGUUGCAAAGGCAUCAGUGAACCACAUGCUUUUGUGGUUUUGAAGCAUUUGCUAUCACUGGAGAAAAAUAUAAUGAUAAAGGAUAGAAGAAUUUCUUACUCAGCUGUUUUAAACUUAUGGUGGAAAAAUAAAGAGAUGAAGAUAGAGACAGAAUAUUCUCUGCACCCCCAGAAUCAGUUCAUUCAUGGUGCUAACAAACACUUCAAGAAUGUGCCAGAGAACUCGCCUGAUUCACUUUACUGAAACACAAGAUUCACAAGAGGUGGGUUCUCACUAAGUUGCUCAGACUAGUCUCGAACUCCUGUGUUCAAGCGAUCCUCCUGCCUUGGCCUCCCAAAGGGCUGCGAUUACAAGUGAUGGAAUGUCAGUAUUGCAACUGUGAUGCCUUUAUAUCAUGUGAGAAGAACAAUAGAGUCCUGGGAGGCAAGUGCAGAUGACCCCAAGGUCCUUGUGGACAAGGAAGUAAAAGCUAAGAAGAAAUGGCACGUUUCUUAGGAAACAUUUCAAUAUUGUUAUUUAUACAAGGAUGCAGAGAACAGUACAGCUGGAGAAUUAAAUGGAGAGAUCAGCGCACAGAUGGACUCAAAGCCAUCAUAAGAACAUCAUCAGAAUGGAUCCAAAGAGUAGAAUAUUUUUUCUGCAGUUCGAACUUUAGGAAGAAGUCAGACUAUAACAUCACCAUUGUAAAAGGCAAUGGCUUGGCCAGGCACAGUGGCUCACGCCUGUAAUCCCAGGACUUUGGAAGGCCGAGGCAGGCAGAUCACCUGAGGUAAGGAGUUCGAGACCAGUCUGGCCAACGUGGUGAAACCCCGUCUCUACUAAAAAUACAAAAAUUAGCUGGGCGUGGUAGCGGGCACCUGUAAUCCCAGCUACUCGGGAUGCUGAGGCAGGAGAAUUGCUUGAACCCGGGAGGCCGAGGUUGCAGUGAGCCGAGAUCGUGCCACUAUCCAGCCUGGGCGACAAGAGCGAAACUCCGUCUCAAAAAAAAUAAAAAAGGGCGAUGGCCUAUAACAAACCCAAUCCUCACUCUCACCUCCACUUUUAAAUCUCUCUUUAAAAAGCACUGUAAAAAUAUUUUAUACAAUCUUCUAGUUCUUUUGUAGUAUUGGCCAGUAAAUAUUACUAUUUAUCAUCAGUAAGGGAAAUAAAUCUUAGACUUCCAUCUCCUCCCAAUUUAAUACUUUUAAAUAAGUUUUAAAUGAAAUUUGCAUUUCCGUGAAAUUAUUCAUUCUACUCUGACCCUUCGUGAGUAGUUUCAAUGCUUUUGCUUACAAGCUGUCAAGCUGCAGAUUUAAAAUGGUAACUACUUGUUGAGGCUGAAAGUUCAGAAAACCUAAAGAGAAUGAGAUACUGUUUUCAUAGUUCCCUUAAAUAAGUAAUGAGGCCGGGCGCGGUGGCUCACGCUUGUAAUCCCAGCACUUUGGAAGGCUGAGGCGGGCGGAUCACGAUGUCAGGAGAUUGAGUCCACGGUGAAACCCUGUCUCUACUAAAAAUACAAAAAAAAUUAGCCGGGCGUGGUGGCGGGCGCCUGUAGUCCCAGCUACUCGGAGGGGCUGAGGCAGGAGAAUGGCGUGAGCCCGGGAGGCAGAGGUUGCAGUGAGCCGAGAUCGCGCCACUGCACUCCAGCCUGGGCGGCAGACCAAGACUCCGUCUCAAAAAAAAAAAAAAAAAAAAAAAAGAAAAGGAAUGAUAAAUUAUAGAAAGGCAUUUUAAACUAAACAUUUUGCAACAGUACACUGAAGAGGCUAAAUCAUUGUGUGAUAAUUUGGAGUGUCUCCCUUUUCCCUUACAUCCAAUCUACCCCAGUGUCAGAAGUUUAAUGUAAAAGAAAUAACUUUAUUAAGGGAAGAAUAGCUGUCAUAGACCCUUUCCUGCAACUUAGGAAUCAUGAGACCUGUGAACUCUUACUUGCUCCGUAAGUCAGCCUAGGAAGUGACUUAAAAGGCUGUCAGGAAACGCACAGGGGGCUCAUUCGCUGCCUGGUGAGACCUGGGAGAAAUCAAGUCUUCAGAGAUGCAAAUUAACUGCAGAAUACAACCUAUUGUUGUAUAGAUUCAGUUUAAAGAAAAGGCUUUCCUGAAUGCAAGACAAAAUGGACUUUUGAAAUGCUGGGGACUGACAGAGAAGUUGAGUACUUCAUUCUAGGCUUUCCAUAUGAAGGGAAUUAGGAAUUUUAGACUCAGGAUCACACUUGUAAGAACACUGUGUUUUGCAACUUCUUCAGGAUUGUUUUAUUUGACAUCUUGUUGCCUACUAAUGAGAGCAGUUAACUCAACAUUAAAAGCCAGUAUGUGUGUAUUCAGGGCCAAUCAGACUGCCCUUCUCAUCCCUGAGAAUCCCUGGGAAGAGAAAUACUUUUUCUAGUGACCAAAGAAAGGAAAACAAGGUGAUUCCGUGGGAACUGCUACAAGAAGACAUAAAGGAAAACGGAGCAUGGGCAGUCAGCUGAGCAUGAAAAACAGCUGCCUGUCACCCACUGUGGCUUUAGGGCAGCGGCCUUUCUGACCUUUGGAAGAUAAGUGGCUUCCAGAAUUUCCGACGCACAGGCUGCACCUCAGACCAAUUAUGCCAUUACUCUAGGGUGACCCAGGUAACACUUUUGUUUUUUUUAAACAAAUUAGGUUCCCAGGUGUUUCCAUAAUGCAGUCAAGGUUGAGUCCCCUCAAACUUUCAGGUGCUCAUGAACCACCUGGGGAUUUUAUUAAAAUGCAAAUUCUGAUUCAGUAGGUCUGGAGCAGGGCCUGAGUUCUGCAUUUUCAACUCAGCUCCCAGAAGCUACUUAUUCUGCUGGGGCAGGGGGAUCAAUGCAAUGCAAACCCUUGGACAGACAUUAACUCUAGCAGAAGUAGAUUCUGCAUAAUGAUUUCAAUGCCUACCAUUAAGCCAGUGAUCGACAUUUAAGUAGCAGAAAUUUAAAAAUGUAAAUCUUGAAAAUCACAGUAAGUUUAGAGUAUAAUCUAAAUGCGUUACUACUGUUUACAAGUCUUUCAAUUUGACAAGGUCUCUGAACUCUCCCCUAUCACUUUCCUCUGGCUUACUCUUCUUCAGGGCAGAGUUAUUCUUGCUGCUUCUCAUACAUGCCAGACCCGUCUUCCCUUCACAGCCUUCAAACUUUCUGCUCCUUGGAAUUCUUGCUUAGAAUACCUGCCCCUCCAUAACCUCAUGGCUUGCUCCCUUUUCAUUCAGCUCAAAUGUCACCUCUUCAGCCCUUCCCUGAGCACCCAUUCUGGAGAGACCACUUUCCCUCUGCUUCUCUGUCUCAUAGCCCUCUCCCCACAUGGCACUGAUAGCUAUUUGAAAUUGGUCUGCUUAUUUGUUUGCUUAUUGACUAAAGGAAACAAAAAAAUAUUUUACACCAAAUAUACUUAUUUGACAUAUUUAAAGAUGGCUAUUUAGAGAGCCUGAAAACAUAAGAAUAGCUAAAAAGCUUUUUCUCUUCUCUCCCUCCCAUAACCUCUCUUGCCAUGCUCUGAGCCCCUCUUCUUUCUGUAACCUCAGGUGGUAUAAAAGCAUCAACUAUCUGGCCCUUUCUUUUUUUUCACUGUUGUUGCCCAGGCUGGAGUGGUGCAAUGGCUCAAUCUCGGCACACCGCAACCUCCACCUCUUAGGUUCAAGCGAUUCUCCUGCCUCAGCCUCCUGAAUAGCUGGGAUUACAGGCAUACACUACCAUGCCUGGCUAAUUUUGUAUUUUUAGUAAAGACGGGCUUUCUCUGUGUUGGUCAGGCUGGUCUCCAACUCCCGACCUCAUGUGAUCUGCCCUCCUCAGCCUCCCAAAGUGCUGGGAUUACAGGCGUGAGCCACUACCCCCAGCUUAUCUGGCCCUUUCUUUGAGUUUUUAAAAUCUGUGUUCCUCCCAUGCAUGCAUGUGUACAUUAAUGUUUUGUCUGCCUUUCUCCUUUUAAUCAGCCUUUUGUCAGUUGAUUUCUAGUGAACCUUCAGAGGGCAAAAGAGAUUUGUCUUAGCCCCUACAAGUUUUUCUCUCCCUCCAUAAGAAUAUUAACCAUGAGAGAAAAGCCUCUGUUCUAGGUCCCUGCUACAUUCCCAGAUCCUAGAACACAACUGAACCCAUAGAAGGACACAGAAGAAAAAAAAAUGAAAGCGAAUGGUAAGGCCAGGCGUAGUGGCUCACGCCUGUAAUCCCAGCACUUUAGGAGGCUGAGGCAGGCAGAUCGCGAGGUCAGGAGUUCAAGACCAGCCUGGCCAACAUGGUGAAAACCCUUUUCUACUAAAAAUACAAAAAUAAGCUGAGCGUGGUGGCGGGUGCCUGUAAUCCCAGCUACUCAGAAGGCUGAGGCAGAGAAUUGCUUGAACCUGGGAGGCAGAGGUUGCAGUGAGCUGAGAUCGCGCCACUGCCCUCCAGCCUGGGCAACAGAUCAAGACUCCGUCUCAAAAAAAAAAAAAAAAAAAAAGGAGAAAAUGAAGCCAGGCGUGGUAGCUCACGCCUGUAAUCUCAGCACUUUGGGAUGCCGAGGUGGGCAGAUUACCUGAGGUCAGGAUUUUGAGACCAGCCUGACCAACAGGGAGAAAACUCAUCACUACUAAAAAUACAAAAAUUAGCUGGGCGUGGUGGUACAUGUCUGUAAUCCCAGCUACUCGGGAGGCUGAGGCAGGAGAAUCGCUUGAACCCGGGAGUCGGAGGUUGUGGUGAGCCGAGAUUGCGCCAGCCUGGGCAACAAGAGCGAAACUCCGUCUCAACAAAAUGAAAAAUAAUAAUAAUAAUAAAAUGAAUGAUAAAAGUAUCAGUCUGGGUUUUCCAAAGAAAGAGAGACAGAGAGGUUCAGGAAUUGGCUCACAUGAUUGUGGACACUGGCACAUCUAGAAUCCAUGGGGCAGGCCAGCAGGUUGGAAACUCAGGCUGAAUUCUUUCUCUUUUGGAAAACUUCAGUUUUUUUGUUUUUGUUUGUUUGUUUGUUUUGAGACGAAGUCUCCCAAGCUGGAGUGCAAUGGCGCGAUCUCAGCUCACUGCAACCUCCACCUCCCAGGUUCAAGUGAUUUUCCUGCCUCAGCCUCCUGAGUAGCUGGAAUUACAGGUGCCUGCCACCAUGCCUGGCUAAUUUUUGUAUUUUUUUUUUUUUUUAGUAGAGAUGGGGUUUCACCAUGUUGGCCAGACUGUUCUCGACCUCCUGACCUCAGGUGAUCCACCUGCCUUGGGCUUCCAAAGUGCUGGGAUUACAGCUGUGAGCCACUGUGCCCGGCCAACUUCAGUUUUUUUGUUUGUUCAUUUUUGAGACAAGAUCUCAUUCUGUUGCCCAGGCUGGAGUGCAGUGGCACAAACAUGGCUCACUUCAGCCUUGACCUUUUUGCUCAAGCAAUCCUCCUGCCUCAUUUUCCCAAGUAGCUGGGACUACAGGUGCAGGCCACCACAUCUGGCUAAUUUUCACAAUUUUUUUGUAGAGAUAAGGUCUCACCAUGCUGCCCAGGCUGGUCUCAAACUCCUGGGCUCAAGAGAUCCUCCUGCCUCAUUCUCCCAGUGUUGAGAUUACAGGCAUGAGCCAUGGUGCCCAACCAGGAUGUUGUUGUUCUUAACCUUAUUCUUUUUUUUUUUUUUUUUUUGAGAUGGAGUUUCACUCUGUCAUCUGGGCUGGAGUGCAGUGGUACAGUCUCAGCUCACUGCAACACUGCAACCUCCACCUCCCAGUUUCAAGCAAUUCUCCUACCUCAGUCUCCCGAGUACCUGGGAUUAUGGGCACCUGCUAUCAUGCCUGGCUAAUUUUUGUAUUUUCAGUAGAGACAGGGUUUCACCAUGAUGGCCAGGCUGGUCUCAGGCUCCUGACUUCAAGAGAUCCUCCCACCUCGGUCUCCCAAAGUGCUAGGAUUACAGGUGUGAGCCACCACACCCGGCCUAGGAACCUUAUUCUUUUUUUUUGAUACAGAGUCUUAUUCUGUUGCCCCGGCUGGAAUGCAGUGGCACAAUCUCAACUCUCCGCAACCUCUGCCUCCCGGGUCUGAGUGAUCCUCCUGCCUCAGCCUCCCACGUAGCUGGGAUUACAGGCACGUGCCACCAUGCCCAGCUAAUUGUUGUAUUUUUAGUAGAGACGAGGUUUCACCAUAUUGGCCAGGCUGGUCUCGAACUCCUGACCUCAGGUGAUCCGCUUGCCUCAGGCUCCCAAUGUGCUGGGAUUGCAGGCGUGAGCCACCUCUUCCGCCAGUAACCUUAUUCUUAAAACCUUCAUCUAGGCCAGGCGAGUUGGCUCAUGCCUGUAAUCCUAGCACUUUGGGAGGCAGUGGCGGGCAGAUCACAAGGUCAGGAGUUCGAGACCAGCCUGGCCAAUAUGGUAAAACCCCAUCUCUACUAAAAAUAAAAAAAAAAUUGCUGGGCAUGGUGGCAGGCACCUGUAGUCUCAGCUACUCAGGAGGCUGAGGCAGGAGAAUCGCUUGAACCCAGGAAGUGGAGGUUGCAGUGAGCUGAGAUCAUGCCACUGCACACUGCACUCCAGCCUGGGUGACAGAGCGAGACUCCGUCUCAAACAAAAAACAAAAAACAACCUUCAUCUAAUUGGAUAAGGCUCACCCAUAUCAUGGAGAGUAAUCUCCGUUAUUUAAAAUCAAUUGACUGUAAAUGUUAAUCACUUCUACCUAAUAACUUCAUACCAACAUCUAGACUAGUAUGUAACCAAGCUGGGCACAUAGCCUAGCCAAGUUGACACAUAAAAUUAACCAUACCAUUCCAUUAGGUGAUGGGGAUAAAGCAGUGCAAAGAUAAUAAGGUCUUUGUUUUUGUUUUUUUUUUGAGACGGAGUCUUACUCUGUCGCCCAGGCUGGAGUGCAGUGGCAUGAUCUUGGCUCACUGCAACCUCCGCCUCCCAGGUUCAAGCGAUUCUACUGCCUCAGCCUCCCAAGUAGCUGGAAUUACAGGCACCUGCCUUGAGUCCCAGCUAAUUUUUGUAUCUUUAAUAGAGACAGGGUUUCACCAUCUUGGCCAGGUUGGUCUUGAACUCCUGACCUCAGAUGAUCCGAAGAGAGGGUUUCACCAUGUUGGCCAAGCUGGUCUCGAACUCCUGACCUCAGAUGAUCCACCUGCUUUGGCCUCCCAAAGUGCUUGGAUUACAGGCAUGACCCACCAUGCCUGGCUGCAGUUUUUAUUUUAUAGAUGAGGAAACUGAAAUUUAGAAAGAAAAAUACCCUGUCCUGAGGCACACUGCCAAGAAAUAAAAAAGCUAGGAUUCAAACAUAGAUUUUGGACUAUGAGACUGUUAGUCACUCAGUAAUAUUGUUCUGAUAGAUAUACUUGUUCUGAUUUUAUACUUUUGCAGAUAAGAACAUAAAAGCUUAGAGAAGUAAAAGUACAUAUUCAGAGACACAUCAUAUAUGUUCAAGCCAGGAUUUGAAGACAUGUUUGCAUGACUUCAAAAAUCAUACUUUUUCUUCUGUACACUAUGUUAACUACUGGACUACCCUAAUAGACUACCCUAAACUACUUCUGGAUCUAAAAUACAACAAUCAACAAAACCAUAGAUACGAAAAUUGAAAAUUAUCUGCAGCUCAUCCUAGUCUUCCAUAUCCAAUAAUGCCAUUAAUUCUUUUUUUCUUUUUCUUUUUGUUUUUUGAGACAGAGUCUCGCUCUGUCACUCAGGCUGGACUGCAGUGGCAAGGUCUCUGCUCACUACAAACUCUGCCUCCCAGGUUCAUGCAAUUCUCCUGUCUCAGCCUCCGGAGUAGCUGGGAUUACAGGCAUGCGCCACCACACUGGCUUAUUUUUGUAUUUUUUAAGUAGAGAUGGGGUUUUGCCAUGUUGGCCAGGCUGGUCUUGAACUCCUGACCUCAGCAGACCUGCCAGCCUUGGCCUCCCAUGCAUAUAUUGCAUAAUGCUUCUAUUGAACCCAUCACUCAAAUAGUGAACAUAGUAUUUUUUUUUUUUUUUUUUUGAGACUAAGUCUCGCUGGAGUGCAAUGGCGCCAUCUCGGCUCACUGCAACCUCCCGGGUUCAAGAGAUUCUCCUGCCUCAGCUUCCCAAGCAGCUGGGAUUACUGGCACCUGCCACCACACCUGCCUAAUUUUUGUAUUUUUAGUAGAGACGGGGUUUCACCAUGUUGGCCUGGUCUCCAACACCUGACCUCAUGAUCCGCCCUCCUCGGCCUCCUAAAGUGCUGGGAUUACAGGCGUGAGCAACCAUGCCUGGCUGAACAUAGUAUUCUCUCUUUUUUUUUUUUUUUUGAGACGGAGUCUCGCUCUGUCGCCCAGGCUGGAGUGCAGUGGCGCUAUCUCUGCUCACUACAAGUUCCGCCUCCCGGGUUCAUGCCAUUCUCCUGCCUCAGCCUCCCAAGUAGCUGGGACUACAGGCACCUGCAACCACGCCCGGCUGAUUUUUUGUAUUGUUAGUAGACACGAGGUUUCACCGUGUUAGCCAGGACGAUCUCGAUCUCCUGACCUCGUGAUCCACCCGCCUCCGCCUUCCAAAGUGCUGGGAUUACAGGCGUGAGCCACCGCGCCUGGCUUGAACAUAGUAUUCUUAAAUAUGUUUCUUCUUUUCUUUUCCUUAAUUCAGACUGUUAUUUAACCAGUUUUCUUCUGAAUUACUGUUACCACUUACUGACUGAUAAGGUCUCCCACCUUCCCCUUACCCAGUCCUCACUAUUACCCCUAGUUGAGCCGUCCGAAACACAGAUUUUUAGCUAGUCCUUGGCUAGAAAAUCUUUAUCGUUCUCUAUUUUCUAUAGAAUUAAGUAGACUCCUUCCCUGUCUGUCAAGGUUUUACAUAAUCUGUUCUCAAACUGCUUCCAUUUGCCACUACACCUUUCAAGGAACACAGUAAAUAUCUUUUAUUCAGCAUAGAGAGUGUAUUUAUUUUUAUUUAUUUAUUUUGAGGCAGAGUCUCACUCUGUCCCCCAGGCUGGAGUGCAGUGGCACGAUCUUGGCUCACUGUAACCUCGGACUCCUGGGUUCAAGCGAUUCUCCUACCUCAGCCUCCUGAGCAGCUGGGACUAUAGACGCCCACCAGCACCCCUGGCUAAUUUUUGUAUUUUUAAUAGACACGGGGUUUCAACAUGUUGGCCAAGAUGGUCUCCAUCUCCUGACCUUGUGAUCCACCUGCCUCGGCCUCCUAAAGUGCUGGGAUUACAGGCAUGAGCCACCGUGCCCAGCUGUAUUUUUAACUUUUAUUUUGAAACAAUUUCAAGCUCAUAGAAAUAUUGCAAGAAUAGUACAAAUAACCACUGUGUACCCUUUAGUCAGAUUGACUAAUGUUUAACAUUUUGCUAUAUUUGCUUUCUCUCUCUCUUUUUAUACAUGCACGCACACAGACACACACAAAAUGUUCUUUCUUUUUAAAAAACAGGAUCUUACUUUGUUGCCCAGGUUGUAAUAGAGUGGCAUGAUCAUAGCUCACUGCAGCCUCAAUUUCCUGGGCUCAGGCGAUUGUCUCACCUUAGCCUCCAGAGUAGCUGGAACUACGGUCACUCACUACCAUGCCAGGCUAAUUUUUUCUAGAGAUCGGGUUCCACCAUGUUGACCAGGCUGGUCUCAAACUCCUGAGCUCAAGCUAUCCACUUGUCUUGGCCUCCCGAAAUGCUGGGAUUACACGUGUGAGCCACUGCGCCUGGGCACAAAUUUCCUAAUCAUUUGAGAAUAGGAUGCAUAGAUCAUGUUUCUUUCUUCCUCAGCACUUCAUUAUUUCCUAAGAAGAAGGACGUUUUCUCAUGUAACCACGUAUCAACCACAUAUGGUAUAGUUAUCAAAUUCAAAUAUUGAUACAAUAUUUUUGUCUUAUCUACAGUCCCUAUUUCAAUUUUGUAAAUUGUCCCAGUAAUGUCCUUUACUGCAAUUUUAAAAAUAAAGUUUAAGGCCAAGCACGGUGGCUCAUGCCUUUAAUCUCAGCACUUAGGGAGGCCAAGUCAGGAGGAUGGCUUGAGGCCAGGAGUUCAAGACCAUCCUAGGCAGCAUAGUGAGACCUUGUCUCUACAAAAAUACAUAAAUGAAGUUUAAGGGGAAGACAUUCUAUGACUCAGAAUGAGGUGUUGCCUGAUGAAAGAUAAAAAAUCAAGGAUUUGGUCUAGGAUUAUGUGUUGUACUGAUUGCCACAUCUCUUCAGUCUUCCUUAAUCUGCAACAGAUUGUCAGUCUUUUUUGUUUGUUUUCUUUUUCAUGACAUUGACAUUUUUGAAGAACAUAGUUUAGUUAUUAGAAUGACUUAAUCUGGGAUUGUCUGAUAUUUCUUCACAAUUAGAUUGACUGAAGGUUUUAUUGUGUACAGAGAGGGGGAGGGGGCUCAGUUCUUGGCAAUUUCCUCAUAGCAGCCAGACUGGGUCGCAGCUCCUCCUGCUGCUUCUUGACAUGGACGUGUGUUCCCACCCUUUUCUUGGUGAACUUGAGGGCCCGUUUGGUGCUUGGAGUCCUUGAGCAGCUCCAUGGCAUGCAGCUCGUAAGGGUGAGAGCCACACACCUCUUGGAUCAUGUCCCUUGGAUUUUGUAUGCUUGGUGAGGCGCCUGCAGUGGUGGCUGUGCUGUGCCCCGCUCACCUUCUUGGUUGCCCUGGUGGAGGCCAUGGGCCAUAGGGUAGCGCAAAGUCCUGGCUGCUGCUCUCCAGGGUAGCUGUGGGAAGGGCCCAGCCACUUGGAACUCUAGGAUUCACAGCUAGAUCUAAACUAUGCAUUUUUGUCUGGAAUACUAUGCAAGUGAUGUGCUAGUAAUAAUAACCAUGGUUCCAUAGCUGUAAUAUGACUAUAUGCAUAACACAAUAAGCCAGAGUGCUUCAUCUUUUAGUCUCCCACAUCGCAGCUUAUCCAAGUUGAAUCCUAUUCGUUUUUAAAGAUCAGCCCAAGUUCUACCUAUUAGCCAGCUCCCUGCAGCCAACACAGAGUUCUCCUUUUCUGAAGUACUCAAUCACUUGUCUAAUUCACACAUUUAGCUACUGCUUAAUAAUAGGUCUCUGUGCAUUGCUUAUUAUCAUUGCAUAAGUAGACAUCUCAUUUUCCUGUCCUUGAAGGCAGAAGCUCUGUUUAUUUUAUUCUCUUGAAUACUCCAUAGUUCCCACUCAGUGUAAAUUUUCAGUAACUACAAGCUGUUGCUUAAGAGAGCUUAAUGAUUUGGGUUUCUCUGAUAGUGGUGAUUAGUGUAGAAGUGUGGUUGAAACAACAGGAUCACCUGUGCACAUCCAUAGUGAAUCUCUCCUUGGCUCACACAGGAUUUUUAAUCUCUGUUUUUUUUUUUUUGGAGACAGUCUCGCUCUGUUGCGCAGGCUGCAGUGCAGUGGCACAAUCUGGGCUCACUGCAACCUCUGCCUCCCAGGUUCAAGCGAUUCUACUGCCUCAGCCUCCCAAGUAGCUGGGAUUACAGGCACACGCCACCAUGCCUGUUAGAAACUAAGACACAAACACAUACCUUAGCCUGGCUAAUUUUUUGUAUUUUAGUAGAGAUGGGGUUUCACUGUGUUGCCCAGGCUGGUCUCCACCUCUGGAGCUCAGACGAUCUGCCUGCUUCGGCCUCCCAAAGUUCUGGGAUUACAGGAGUGAGCCAUCGUGCCUGGCUAAUCUCUAUUAUUAAGAAAAUUCUAAUGAAUCCAUAUACGGCCGUGCAUUGCUUAAUGACAGGGAUACAUUCUGAGAAAUGCAUCGUUAACGUGAUUUUUGUCAUAGGAACAUCAUAGAGUGUACUUACAUAAACCUGGAUGAUAUAGCCUACUACACACCUAGGCUGUGUGGCAUAGCCUAUUUACAAACCUGUACAGCAUGUUACUGUACUGAAUACUGUAAGCAGUUGUAACACAAUGGUAAGUAUUUCUGUAUUUAAACACAUGUAAACUUAGAAAAGAUACAGUAAAAACAUGGUAUACAAGAUAAAAAAUGGUAUGCCUAUAUAGGGCACUUACCCUGAAUGAAGUCUGCAGGACUGAAAGUUGUUUUGGGUGACUCAGUGAAUGAGUGGUGAGUGAAUGUAAAGGUCUAGGACAUUACUGAACACUACUGUAGACUUUAUAAACACUACACUUAAGCUUCACUAAAUUUAUUAAAAAUUUUUUUCUUUCUUUAAUAGUAAGUUAACCGUAGCUUACUAACUUUUUUUUUCUUUAUAUUUUUUGAGACAGGGUCUCACUCUGUCACCCAGGCUGGAGUGCAGUGGCACCAUCUCGGCUCACUGAAACCUCUGCCUCCUGGAUCAAAGCGAUUCUCAUGCUUCAACCUCCCAAGUAGUUGAGAUUACUGUAACUUUUUUACUUUAUAAACUUUUAAAUUUUUAAAAACUUUUUGACUCUUUUGUAAUAACAACUUAAAACACACAUUGUACAUCGUACAAAAAUGUCUUUAUAUUUUUUCGUAUGCUUUUUCUAUUUUUAAAAUUGUUUAUUUUUACAGUUUUAAACUUUUAUUUUAAAAACUAAGACAAAAACACAUACCUUAGGCAAGGCCUACACAGGGUCAGGAUCAUCAACAUCACUGUCUUCCACCUCCACAUCUUGUCCCAUUGGAAGGUCUUCAGAGGCAAUAAUAUGCAUGGAUCUGUCAUUUCCUAUAAUAAAAAUUUCUUCUGGAAUAUCUCCUAAAGAACUUGCCUUAGGCUGUUUUGCAGUUAGCACUUUUUUUUUUAAUAGAGUACACUCUAAAAUAAUAAUAAAAAGUAUAGUAUAGUAAAUACAUAAACCAGUAAUGUCAUUUAUUAUUAUCAAGUAGUAUGUACUGUACAUAAUUGUACAUUCUAUAUUUUUAUAGGACUAGCAGUUCAGUAGGUUUUUUUAUACCAACAUCACCAGAAACACAUGCACUAUAACAUUAUGAUGGCUACAAUGUUACUGGACAAUAGGAUUUUUCAGCUCCUUUGUAAUCUAUUUUUAUCUAUCUAUCUAUCUAUCUAUCUACUUAUUUUUGAGAGAGAGUCUCCCUCCGUCACCCAGGCUGGAGUGCAGGUGACGCGAUCUCUGCUCACUGCAACCUCCACGUCCCAGGUUCAAGUGAUUCUCCUGCCUCAGCCUCUGGAGUAGCUGGGAUUACAGGCAUGCACCACCAUGCCUGGCUAAUUUUGUAUUUUUACUACAGACAGGGUUUCACCAUGUUGGCCAGGCUGGUCUCAAACGCCUGACCUCAGGUGAUCCACCCACCUAUGCCUCCCAAAGUGCUGGGAUUACAGGUGUGAGCCACUGCACCUGGCCGCAUUUCCUUAUUUAUUAUUAUUAUUACUCUGUUUGUAAGAAAAACAGGUAAUAUAAGAGCCAAUAUAUUUUUAUAUUUAAAAAAAUUAAGCCAGGGGCAGUGGCUCACGCCUGUAAUCCCAGCACUUUGGGAGGCUGAGGUGGGCAGAGUACCUGAGGUCGGGAGUACAAGACCAGCCUGACUACCAUGGAGAAACCCUGUCUCUACUAAAAAUACAAAAAACAAAACAGCUGGGCAUGAUGGCGGGCACCUGUAAUCUCAGCUAUUCAGGAGGCUGAGGCAGGAGAACUGCUUGAACCGGGGAGGCAGAGGUUGCAGUGAGCCGAGAUAGCGCCAUUGCACUCCAACCUGUGUAACAGAGUGAAACGCCAUCUAAAAAAAAAAAAAAAAUUAAAGUGGUAACAUAUAUUCAUUCACAUUGUAACAAAAUUCAAUCUGCACAAAAAGAUAAACAGUGAAUAUCAGUCUCAUUUUUAUUCCUGACCUUAAUCCCCCAGUUGCUCCUCAAAGGCCACUACCGUUGUCAGUUUCUUGUACAUUCUUCCAAAUAUGUUCUGUGUACCGUCUGUGCUUCAGUUUACUCAUCUGCAAAUAGGGAUAGUAAUAGUGCCUGUCUCACUGGGCUCUUGUGAGGAUUAAAUGCAUUAGCAUGUACAUAAGCACAACGGUGCCAGUUACAAAGGUGCCAUGUACAAACCACUUGAUCAUGUUAUAUAAUCAUUUGAUGUGCUGUUAAAUUCAUUUUGCUAGGUUUUGUUGAAGGUUUUUAUAUUUAUUUUCACUAGGAAUAUUGGCCUGUAGUUUUCUUUCCUUAUAAUGUUUUUAUCUAGCUUUGGUAUGAGAACAAUGCUGGUGGCUUAAAAUGAGUUUAGAAGUGUUCCUUUCUUUUUAAUUUUUUAUUUUUUUUUCUUUGAGACGGAAUCUCACUCUGUCACCCAGGCUGGAGUGCGGUGGCACGAUCUCGGCUCACUUCAAGCUCCACCUCCCGGGUUCACGCCAUUCUCCUGCCUCAGCCUCCCUAGUAGCUGGGACUACAGGCGCCCGCCACCACACCUGGCUAAUUUUUUGUAUUUUUAGUAGAGACAGGGUUUCACCAUGUUAGCCGGGAUGGUCUCGAUUUCCUGACCUCGUGAUCCGCCCGCCUCGGCCUCCCAAAGUGCUGGGAUUACAGGCGUGAGCCACUGCGCCCGGUUGCCUUUCUUUUUAAUUUUUUAGAAGAGUUUGAAGAGGAUUGGUGUUAAUUCUUCAAACUCUGUCAUCUAGUCCUGGGCUUUUCUUUGUUGGGAUUUUUUUUAAUUACUGCUUCAAUCUUCUCAUUAUUUUUCUGUUAAAAAUUUUUAUUUCUUCAUGACUCAGUCUGAUUAAGUUGUAUGCUAGAAAUUUAUUCAUUUCUUCUAAAUUAUCCAAUUUGUUGGCGUAGUUAUUCAUAGUAGUCUCUCAUGAUCCUUUGCAUUUCUGUAGCACCAGUUGUACAUACCUCACGUUUUAAAAGUUUUAAAAAUUAUUAUGCAUGUACUAGUAUGAAGAUUAUAUAUUGGUCUGUCCAAUAGACAUAUAAUGUAAGCCAUAUAUGUAAUAUUAAAUUUUCUAGUAGCCACAUUUUUAAAAAAGGAAAAAAAAGAAAACGUUUUAAUAAUAUAUUUUAUUUACCACAAUAUAUUCAAAAUAAUAUCAUUGAAACAUGUAAUCAAAAAAAUAUAUUUUAAUAAGGUGUAUUCUUUUUUGGUAUUAAGUCUUUGAAAUUUAGGCUGUAUUUUAUGCUUACAGAACAUCUCAACUGAGACAAUUUCUGAUUUAAGUGCCUAAUAGCUACAUAUCGAUAGUAGCUAUAGUAGCUAAUGUAUUUUUUUUUUUUUGAGAUAGAGUCUUGCUCUGUCGCCCAGGCUAUAGUGCAGUGGCCAUGAUCUCCGCUCACUGCAACCUCCGUUUCCCAGGUUCAAGCAAUUCUCCUGCCUCAGGCUCCUGAGUAGCUGGGAUUACAGGCAUGCGCCACCACGCCUGUCUAAUUUUUGCAUUGUUAGUAGAGAUGGGUUUCACCAUGUUGGCCAAGCUGGUCUCGAACCCUUGACUUCGUGAUCUGCCUGCCUCAGCCUCCCAAAGUGCUAGGAUUACAGGCGUGAGCCACCGCGCCUGGUUGUAGCUACUGUAUUUUAUAGAGAAAGUCCAUGAAUUGCAGGUAGAAUUUUUUUUUUUUCCUCUAUCAUCUUAGGUCCAGCGCUGGGUCUCUGCAAAGUAAAUUGACAAAAGACAGAUUAAUACAGAAAUACAACAAAUUUAAUUGUAUGCAUGCACAGGAGUUCACAAAAAAUGUGACUCAUGGAUGUGGUGGCUGGGUGCAGUGGCUCACGCCUGUAAUCCCAGCUCUUUGGGAAGCCAAGGUGGGCGGAUCGCCUGAGGUCGGGAGUUUGAGACCAGCCUGACCAGCAAAGUGAAACCCCAUCUCUACUAAAAAUUAAAAAAAAAAAUUAGCUGAGUGUGGUGGUGCGCGCUUGUAAUCCCAGCUACUCGGGAAGCUGAGGCAGGAGACUCGCUUGAACCCAGGAGGCAGAGGUUGCAGUGAGCCGAGAUCGUGCCAUUGCACUCCAGCCUGGGCAACAGAGCUAGAUGCCGUCUCAAAAAAAAAAAAAAAAAAGUUAUUUUAGAAUUUUAAAUGCCACAGCAGAAAUAGAUUUCCAGAACGGUUAAUGUAAUGUGAGGAGCAAGGGCUUCUCAUUGUUCUUAGGAAAAAGGCUAAAUUCCUCUUAGUAGCCCAUGUCAGCAGCUGGCCUGCCCUGUCUGCCCUCUGCUGGUUCUGCACCAACCAUGCUCAGGGCCACUUAUGGAGUUCUCCCUAGGUUCCCUAUGAACCUUUUUAAUUCUGCUGGAUGCUUCCUCCCACUGACCCUCCAAUACAUGUGCACACAUCUGCCCCCUUGCCUAGUGAGUAAUGUAUGAAUCAGUUUAUUAUUUACUUUUUCAUUUAUUUUUGAGACAGGGUGUCACUCUAUUGCCCAGUCUGGAGUACAAUGGUAUGAUCAUGGCUCACUGUAACCUUGAACUCCUGGGCUCCAGUGAUCCUCCUGCCUCAGCCUCCAUAGUAGUUAGGACUACAGGUGUGCACCACCACAUCCAGCUAAUACAUUUUUUUUUUAAGAGAUGGGGUCUUGCUAUGUUGUCCAGGCCCAGUCUUGAACUCCUGGCCUUAAGUGAUCCUCAUGCCUUGGCCUCCCAAACACUGAGAUUAAAGAUGUAAGCACCCAGCCGGCAUCAGUUUAAAGAAAAAUAUAUAUAUAUGCUUGUGUCCAAAUAUUGAUUCAUUUUAUUACAACAUAAAAUAUAUACAAACAUAAAAUUUAUUUUUUUGAGACAGAGUCUCACUCUGUUGCCCAGGCUGGAGUGCAGUGGUGUGAUCUCAGUUUACUGUCACCUCUGCCUCCCAGGUUCAAGUGAUUCUCCUGUCUCAGCCUACCAAGUAGCUGGGAUUACAGGUGGGUGCCACCAUGCCUGGCUAAUUUUUGUAUUUUUAGUAGAGACAGGGUUUUGCCAUGUUGGCCAGGUUGGUCUCGAACUCCUGACCUCAAGUGAUCCACCCUCAGCCUCUUAAAGUGCUGGGAUUACAGGUGUGAGCCACCAUGCCUGAUUGGAUACAAAUAUAAAAUUAUAACUCCUAUGUUCACAGUUCAUAUACAACAUCACACCCCAAAUAAAUUUUACUUAAUGGCUAUUAACUAAAAAGAAAGAGACCAUAUGGCUAGGCACGGUGGCUCACGCCUGUAAUCCCAGCACUUUGGGAUUACAGGUCUUUUUGAGCUCAACAUGACUGGUCUAUAGGUGCUGUGUCAUGACACACACCAUUCACCACUCUCCUCUAUGUGAACUACUGUGAAACCGUCUUUGUUUCAGCAUUCAUGAUGCACAUUUGAUCUUCUCUUGGCAGGAAUACAACACAUACAUAUUAAAUUAGUCUAUUCUCUUUCUUUCUUUCCUUUCCUUUCUUUCUUUCUUUUCGUUUUCUGAGACGGAGUCUUGCUCUGUUACACAGGUUGGAGUGCAAUGGCGCUAUCUUGGCUCACUGCAACGUCUGUCUCCCGGGUUCAAGCAAUUCUCCUGCCUCAGCCUCCCAAGUAGCUGAGCAUUACAGGUGCGCACCAACACACCUGGCUAAUUUUUGUAUUUUUAGUAGAGAUGGGGUUUCACCAUGUUGGCCAGGCUGGUCUCGAACUCCCUUGUGAUCUGCCUGCCUCGGCCUCCCAAAGUGCUGGGAUUACAGGCAUGAGCCACCAUGCCUGGCCUAAGUUGAUAUCUUCUUUUCACCUUAGCCUGAGAUUACUACAGUUGUACUACUUGUGGCCAACUCAGUAAAAAACACACAUGUUCAAUGUGAGCUUCGGGCAGAACUCAGUUAUAAAAAAUGAUCCAGAAAGUGUUUCUGUUAAUUUUUAAGGUUGUCAUCACAGUGAAAACAGAAAAUUAAAAGAUGUCUCAUAGAGAACCCAUGGGCCGAAGAUUAUCUUGAGAUAAUAUUUUUUAUUUAUUUCUGUAUGUUCUCUCCAGAGCUCAGAGAGCUCAUCUUAAGUAAGAUUAUGUGACUACCCUCAACCCCCAAAAGUAAGGCAGGUCCCCCAAUUAUAUAUAUAUGCUUUAUACCACCAGGUACUCUUUUAUCUAUUUAUUUAUUUAUUUAUUUGAGACGGAGUCUGGCUCUGUUGCCCAGGCUGGAGUGCAGUGACGUGAUCUCGGCUCACUGCAACCUCUGCCUCCUGGGUUUAAGCGAUUCUCCUGCCUCAGCCUCCCGAGUAGCUGGGACUACAGGCACCCGCCACCACGCCCGGCUAAUUUUUGUAUUUUUAGUAGAGACAGGGUUUCACCAUAUAUAUAUACACCUUUUUUUUUUUUUUUUUUUUUUUUUUUGAGAUUGAGUCUCACUUUGUAGCUCAGGCUGGAGUGCAGUGGCACAAUUUCAGCUCACUGCAACCUUGGCUCCCGGGUUCAAAUGAUUCUUCAGCCUCAGCCUCCCGACUAGCUGGGACUACAGGCAUGCACCACCAUGCCUGGCUAAUUUUUGUAUUUUUAGUAGAGACGGCAUUUCACCAUUUUGGCCAGGCUGAUGUCGAACUCCUGAACUCGGGAUCCGCCCGCCUUGGCCUCCCAAAGUGAUGGGAUUACAGGUGUGAGCCACUGUGCCCGGCCAAAGAUAUUUAAUAAAUAGUUUUUGAGUGAUUAAGUGAAGCAGCUACAAAUCAAGAGACUGGAGUGCAAGUCCUAUCUUUACUUCUGCUUGUGACAUUGGCCAGUUAUUUAUCCUCUAGAUCUCCAUCUUCAUAUUCCAUAAAAUGAGACAAGUAGAGUAGAUCAGAGAUUCCCAAGCUUGGCAUCAACUGGAAGGCCAUUUAAACAAUAUAGAUUGUGGAUUUCCACCUGUAGAUAUUCUGAUUUAUUAAGUCUAGGGUAAGCCAGAUAAUCUAUUUUUAAAACUCCUGAAGUUACAGUGUGCAGCUGAGGUUGGAAACCACUGAAGUAGCUCCAACAUUCUAUGAUUCUUUGUAUAUAUUAGUCCUUAACUUGAAUUAAGCAUAUAGUGAUUGAGGCUAAAUAUUACUAGCUAAAUAAAUGUGCUAAAUAUUACAAACAUUGGGACUAGUAAUAUGAGGAAUAUUUAGACUUUUCUGACCCUAAGAAUGUGCCAUUUGGCUGGGAGACAUACAAGUCAUCUGAUAUGUUAAUGAACACAUUGGUAGCACAGAAUGCUGCAAAAGGCAGACAGAAGGCUUUCAACUAAGUCUGAUGCUUAGGGAAAGAUUGCAAGAGAUCAACCUUGACCAUUGAAGGAAAGGUAGGGAUUAAUCAAGAGGGGAAGGCUUGUAAUCAGAAAAGACAAAAGUCCACAGACAUGGGAAAAUCUAGUUCACCAGAGUCCUGCAAGUGAUUCACUAAAGUUGUAGCACAGCCAGAGGUAGGAGAGUUUAGCAUUUUCUGGAAACAGAGUAGUUAUUACAGGUCAGUGGCUGAGAGCAAGGAUUUUUGAGCCAGAAAAAUCUGGUUUAAAUUCUGGUUUUGUUACACACAGCCUCCCUCUGUGACUUGAGAAGAUAACUUGUUCACACUCAAUUUUCUUAUCUGUAAAAGUAGGGCCAACACCUGUCUUAUAAGAUUACUAUGAAGAUUAAGUGAGGCAAAAUGAGACAAUGUACAUACAGCACUUAACACAGUGCCUGGUAGAUUGCAACCAAAGAAUACAUCCAACAAAGCAAGUUCAUUGCAGCUUUUCUUUGUGUAUUUCAAUUUUAAUGGCUAUACAAUACUGAUAUUGUAUUUAAACCUUUUUUUAAAUGUAAUUAUUAUUUUCACAUAAAAAAAUUCAAAUGUAUAACAGGUUAUUCAGGGAAAAGUAAAGAUCUUUCUCAAACCUUUGUGUCUGUUCUACUAUUUGUUCUUCCUAGAGGCAACCAGGAUAUACCAUUUUUUAACAUGCCCUCUAGAGAUAUUCUGAAGUACAUUUGACAUAGCAAUAAAUUAGAAACAAUAAAAAUGUUCAUUACUUUGGGAAAUGUCUGUGGAAUAGCCACCCUUUGGAUAUUAUGUGGCAAUUUGAAAAAGCAGGCUGCAAAAUAUGUGUUCAUUGUGAUAUCUACCUUUUAAACAAAC
rnacentral:lncRNA from 1 species